GGAUUACCCUUUUGUGAGAUUCGAAAAAAAAAACCCAUUUUUUUACUUAUUUUCCAAUGAGGAGAGGGAGGGGUCCCGCCGCCGCCGUCGUCCCCGAUGGAGAAGAACCCAAAUAUAGAGGUGUUCGAAAAAGACCAUGGGGUAGAUUCGCAGCUGAGAUCCGAGACCCGUGGAAAAAAACCAGGGUUUGGUUAGGUACUUUCGAUUCCGCCGAAAAAGCGGCUCGAGCUUACGAUACGGCGGCGAUGACACUGCGUGGACCGAAAGCCAAAACGAAUUUCUCAAUCAAUCCCUCAACUACUACUGCUUUUCCGAUCAAUCACCAGCACCGUCGGUUAUACCCGAUGGGUAAUUUUUAAGACUCGGAAAUGAACCCACAAAGACCGACGAGGAGCAGUAUGAGUAGUACGGUGGAGUCUUUUAGUGGGCCAAGACCAACCCAACCGCCGCCGGAAUCAGUUGUGUCGGACCAGAAACAUCAUCAUCAUCGGAAACCGCCGGUGUUGCCAGAGGAUUUCACAGUGACUGUGAUUCAUCAUCGCCAGUUGUCAUCGACGAUGGGGAUAUGGCUUCUUCUUCAUGUAAGCAAAAUCAAACAUUGAUGCCUUUGGAUCUCAAUUUUCCACCGUUGGAUGAAGUUGAUGAUCUCUACUGCACUGCUUUAUGUCUUUGA